CCCCGCACAAGCAGCGGAGCGUGUGGUUUAAUUCGAUGUUACACGAAGAACUUUACCAGGGUUUGACAUGCAAGUGGUAGGAAGCCGAAAGGUGACCGACCCUUCGGGGAGCUUGCACAGGUGCUGCAUGGCUGUCGUCAGCUCGUGUCGUGAGAUGUUCGGUUAAGUCCGCUAACGAGCGCAACCCUCGCUGUGUGUUAUAUGUGUCACACGGGACUGCCGGUCUUAAGCCGGAGGAAGGUGGGGAUGAUGUCAAGUCAGCAUGGCCUUUAUAUCCUGGGCUACACACACGCUACAAUGGCCAACACAAUAGGUUGCUAAGCCGCGAGGUGGCGCCAAUCCAUAAAGUUGGUCAGCCAUACUGCGUUGAAUACGUUCCCGGGGCUU
rnacentral:rRNA from 1 species